rnacentral:lncRNA from 1 species
UCCGGGGGAGGAUCUUGUCCAAGGAGUAUGUAAAUCGGGACCCCCUUAGCCCCCUCUUCAUGGUUGAGAUAGCCAUAUCUUCGUUGAGGUCUCAAACUUCAAGCGUGACCGCGUUAAAUCGCGUCAUGAAGUAUCGGAGUAUCUCAUUUUCUCCCUGCUUGAAGGAAAAAAGGCUGUUCGAGGUUCGUGGCGGCUUCCGACUGAUGCUGAAAUGGACUACGAAGGCAUGUUCAAGCUGUCCGAAGGAGUGAAUGCUUCCUGAGCGAAGGUCGGAGUACCAGGCCCUGGCGGCCUUGCAAAGUAUGGUGGGGAAGCCAAUGCAGAGAAGGACAUCGGUUGCUCCUUGGAUCGUCAUGAGAGCCUUGUAGCUCUCCAGAUGGUCAACUGGGUCGGUGGAGCCGUCGUAGGGCUCCACAUGAGGCAUCUUGAAC